GAUGAACGCUGGCGGCGUGCCUAAUACAUGCAAGUCGAGCGAACGGACGAGAAGCUUGCUUCUCUGAUGUUAGCGGCGGACGGGUGAGUAACACGUGGAUAACCUACCUAUAAGACUGGGAUAACUUCGGGAAACCGGAGCUAAUACCGGAUGAUAUUUUGAACCGCAUGGUUCAAAAGUGAAAGACGGUCUUGCUGUCACUUAUAGAUGGAUCCGCGCUGCAUUAGCUAGUUGGUAAGGUAACGGCUUACCAAGGCAACGAUGCAUAGCCGACCUGAGAGGGUGAUCGGCCACACUGGAACUGAGACACGGUCCAGACUCCUACGGGAGGCAGCAGUAGGGAAUCUUCCGCAAUGGGCGAAAGCCUGACGGAGCAACGCCGCGUGAGUGAUGAAGGUCUUCGGAUCGUAAAACUCUGUUAUUAGGGAAGAACAUACGUGUAAGUAACUGUGCACAUCUUGACGGUACCUAAUCAGAAAGCCACGGCUAACUACGUG
rnacentral:rRNA from 1 species